rnacentral:miRNA from 8 species
AGCCCCGGUCUUGAAUCUGGUCC